GAGAAAGUACGAGACUUCCUGUUGUGCGUGUGACAGCUGGUGAUAAGUGGAGGGCUCUGCACAGGAAAUCCGCUCAACUUCUGCAAUGUGACCUGCCUGAAACUUGGGCGCUCCUUCAGUCUGGAUGUUGAUGGCAGGACAGGGGGGCGCCUGGACCAUGGGCGACGUGGUAGAGAAGAGUUUGGAAGGGCCGCUGGCACCUUCUACGGAUGAGGCCUCCCAGAAAAGAGGAGACCUGGUAGAAAUCUUAAAUGGGGAUAAGGUAAAAUUCGAUGACACGGGACUCUCCUUAAUUCUGCAGAAUGGCCUGGACACCCUCCGCGUGGAAAAUGCUCUGACAGAUGUCAUCUUGUGUGUGGACAUUCAGGAAUUCUCCUGCCACCGCGUGGUGCUUGCCGCGGCCAGCAACUAUUUCAGGGCCAUGUUCUGCAAUGAUUUAAAAGAAAAGUAUGAGAAGAGGAUCAUUAUCAAAGGGGUCGAUGCUGAGACCAUGCACACUCUUCUGGACUACACAUACACCAGCAAGGCGCUGAUCACCAAGCAGAAUGUGCAACGGGUCCUGGAAGCUGCUAACCUUUUCCAGUUCCUGCGGAUGGUGGAUGCCUGUGCUAGCUUCCUAACAGAAGCCUUGAAUCCAGAAAACUGUGUUGGAAUACUGAGGCUGGCAGAUACACACUCCUUGGACAGCCUGAAAAAGCAGGUGCAAAAUUACAUCAUCCAAAACUUUGUGCAGAUUCUGAACUCUGAGGAGUUCCUAGAACUUCCCGUGGACACUCUGUACCACAUCUUGAAGAGUGAUGAGCUGUAUGUAACAGAGGAGGCUCAGGUGUUUGAGACUGUGAUGAGUUGGGUCCGGCACAAACAGGCAGAACGACUCUGCUUGCUCCCCUACCUCCUUGAGAAUGUGCGCUUGCCACUGCUGGACCCGUGGUACUUUGUGGAGACGGUGGAGGCAGAUCCUCUCAUCAGACAGUGCCCGGAGGUCUUCCCGCUGCUUCAGGAAGCCAGGAUGUACCACCUUUCAGGCAAUGAGAUCAUUUCCGAGCGCACCAAGCCCAGGAUGCAUGAGUUUCAGUCUGAGGUAUUCAUGAUCAUUGGUGGCUGCACAAAGGAUGAACGGUUUGUGGCGGAGGUAACCUGCCUGGACCCCCUGAGGCGCAGCCGCCUGGAGGUGGCCAAGCUCCCCAUGACGGAGCAUGAGCUGGAGAGUGAGAACAAGAAGUGGGUGGAGUUUGCAUGCGUGACAUUGAAAAAUGAGGUCUACAUCUCAGGUGGCAAAGAGACACAGCAUGAUGUUUGGAAAUAUAAUUCUUCAAUCAACAAAUGGAUUCAAAUUGAGUAUUUGAACAUAGGCCGCUGGAGGCAUAAAAUGGUGGUAUUAGGUGGCAAGGUCUAUGUGAUUGGAGGUUUUGAUGGCUUACAGAGGAUCAACAAUGUGGAGACCUAUGAUCCCUUCCAUAACUGCUGGUCAGAGGCAGCACCCCUUCUUGUCCACGUCAGUUCCUUCGCAGCUACCAGCCAUAAGAAGAAACUCUAUGUGAUUGGGGGCGGGCCCAAUGGGAAACUGGCCACAGACAAGACUCAGUGUUAUGACCCUUCAACCAAUAAAUGGAAUUUAAAGUCGUCCAUGCCGGUGGAGGCCAAAUGCAUCAAUGCUGUCAGUUUCCGGGACCGCAUCUAUGUUGUUGGAGGGGCUAUGAGAGCGCUGUACGCCUACAGUCCUCUGGAAGACAGCUGGUGCCUGGUGACCCAGCUCAGCCACGAGAGGGCCAGCUGCGGCAUCGCGCCCUGCAACAACCGACUCUACAUCACUGGGGGGCGGGACGAGAAGAACGAGGUCAUCGCCACGGUGCUGUGCUGGGACCCCGAGGCCCAGAAACUGACGGAGGAGUGUGUCCUGCCCCGGGGGGUGUCGCACCACGGCAGUGUCACCAUCAGGAAAUCUUACACCCACAUCCGGAGGAUCGUGCCCGGAGCCGUGUCGGUGUGACUGCGGGAGGGCGGAGCCACGGGGGCGCGGGGCGAGGUGCCAGGAGACCUCCCUCCUCACCUGUUGCCCGGGUUCGUCCCACUUCAGACAGCAGGCUGGGCUGGAGCUACAGGACACACACCUGGGUUCCCCGCGGCUCCGCAUGGGAGCUCCUUUCGGAAGUCACAGCUUUGGGACACCAGCCAGGAAUGUUUGUGCGAUCUACCUCAGGAGGGAAGAAGAGUAAUAUGUAACAUUCAGGACAGACCUGUCCCCUGCCAGGUUCUGUGCCAAGCACUUUUGUGUAUCAAUUUGUUUAACCACCAUACAGACCUGGUCACCGGACAUUAUCACUUCUGUUUUACAGGUGAGGAAACUGAGUUUCAGAGAGGCGAAGUACUUUGUCCCUGGUCACCCAGAUUAUAAGUAGCUAAGCCAAGAGGCUAACUCCAGGUCUUUUCAAUUUCAAGCUAUCCCAGCACCAAAGCAUCUCUAAGGGUCUCCUGAUUUCUGAAGUUUGGACAAAGAACAAAAGAAGAUAUGAGACUUCCUGGCUACAUAUUCUUUGAGACGGUUUAUGGGGACCCUCCAUUUGGACUGCCAUUGGGAUCACCCAGUUCCAGCUGACGGGCCAUCUGAACCUGACUGAGGUGCCAGUUUUCUGUCAUUUAGGAUUGAAUCCAACUGGUUGUUUUCAAUACUUCAAGGUAGAAGACACUCUUACUUUAUUAUUCUCCUUUGUGCCUAGUAUAAAUGUUACGGAACCAGGCUGGAAUGCUGGUGGAAAAACCAAGCGGCACUCAGAGAUCUUGGUGUAUCAGAGAUUUAUUUAACACCAGCGGGCUCAGAGGAGACUGUUUCUCCAAAGAUCUGAGCGCCGAAUGCAAGUGGGGAGGGUAAUUUACAGUUGUCAGCUUCCAUAAGUGUGGGGGUUUUCGUGAGCGCAGCAAACCAAGGAAGAACCCGGAGGAGUGGUCUCUAAGCUAGAGACCAGAGCUUGUUUUAGUCCCGUUGGCCAUCUUUGGCGCAGUAUUUUAUUCAUUUCUCUGACAUAAGUACUUACAUAGAAAGUACUCAAAUACUAACAGGAUGAAUCGAAAUACUGGAAAUUGUUGUAGUUUAGUGUAAAUUAAAAUGCAGACCUCGAUCACCUUAAUUACAACUUCAAUGGGUAUGGUUGGUUUUGCAUAUAUUUUAGGAUCAGAAAGUAGACUCAACAAGGAAAUGAGUUACCAGCAGGGGUGAGGCAAUAAAGGAGAGGUGACUGUAGUAAACCAGCUUAGUCCAGAAAAUAUUAAAGGGAACUCGUUUGUGAAGAAAUAUGUUUUGAAUAGUUGUGAAGCAUAGCUCCCAGACUUGGGGUGGGGUCUACCACCUGCUUCUUAAUAUUCCUUUACUCUCCUAUUCUCUUUUUCAUCCUUCUGAUCACUCCCCACCUAUUAAAAAAGAGGAUAUAGGGGCACCUGGGUGGCUCAGUCAGUUGCGGUUAACCGUCUGACUCUUGAUUUUGGCUCAGGUCAUGAUUUCACGGUUUGUGGGUUCGAGACACACAUCGGGCUCUGCACUGGCAGCAUGGAGCCUGCUCGGGAUUCUCUCUCUCACUCUCUUUCAGCCCCUCCUCUGCUCUCUCUCAAAAUAAAUAAAUAAAAUUUUUU